rnacentral:rRNA from 1 species
CGGCGGAGAAGAAGGUUUUUCACACAUGCAAGUCGAUUCAAGUUACCUUCGGGUAAUGAGGAUGGCGGACGGGUGAGUAACGCGUAAGGAACUUGCCUCUUGGACUGGGACAACUGUUGGAAACGACAGCUAAUACCGGAUAUUAUGAGAUUCUCGCAUGAGAAACUUAUGAAAGCUAUAUGCGCCAAGAGAGAGCCUUGCGUUCCAUUAGCUAGUUGGUGGGGUAACGGCCCACCAAGGCGACGAUGGAUAGCCGGCCUGAGAGGGUGAACGGCCACAAGGGGACUGAGACACGGCCCUUACUCCUACGGGAGGCAGCAGUGGGGAAUAUUGGACAAUGGGCCACAAGCCUGAUCCAGCAAUUCUGUGUGCACGAUGAAGGUCUUCGGAUUGUAAAGUGCUUUCAGUUGGGAAGAAGAAAGUGACGGUACCAACAGAAGAAGCGACGGCUAAAUACGUGCCAGCAGCCGCGGUAAUACGUAUGUCGCAAGCGUUAUCCGGAUUUAUUGGGCGUAAAGCGCGUCUAGGCGGAAAAAUAAGUCUGAUGUUAAAAUGCGGGGCUCAACUCCGUAUUGCGUUGGAAACUGUUUUUCUAGAGUACUGGAGAGGUGGGCGGAACUACAAGUGUAGAGGUGAAAUUCGUAGAUAUUUGUAGGAAUGCCGAUGGAGAAGUCAGCUCACUGGACAGAUACUGACGCUGAAGCGCGAAAGCGUGGGGAGCAAACAGGAUUAGAUACCCUGGUAGUCCACGCCGUAAACGA